AGCGUAGGUGGUUAGGUAAGCCCUCCGGGAAAUCUUCAGGCUUAACCUGAAAAGGUCGGGGGGGACGUGCCUGGCUAGAGGACGGGAGAGGAGCGCGGAAUUCCCGGUGUAGCGGUGAAAUGCGUAGAUAUCUGGAGGAACACCGGUGGCGAAGGCGGCAUCCUGGACCAACACUGACGCUGAGGAGCGAAAGCCAGGGGAGCAAACG
rnacentral:rRNA from 1 species